GUCCCUGUAGCUCAGCGGUUAGAGCGCGUGGCUGUUAACCACGAGGUCCCCGGUUCAAAUCCGGGCGGGGACG
rnacentral:tRNA from 1 species